AAGUACUGGGCGGGGCACCGCUCACCUCUGUACACCCCGUUCCAGCCCCCGAGCUGCACGGGACCCGCGCGAGACUCGAGCGAGCCGCCAUGGUCGGACGCGAAGUACACGAGCGUGUUGUCCAAAGGUCUCGGCCUCCCGGAGCAUGAGGCCUGCAACCCGCUCGAGGCGCAGGGGCUGCUGGGUCACGGUGUGGUUCCUCAUGAGGAAGCAAUCUGCGUAGAUGAUGAGGUCACCGACGUGACGCGAAGCAGCGAGGAACACGGCGGCCAGCGCGGCCAGGCCGAGGACCAGCAUCCACCACGGGGUCCGGAGGAGCCGGGAUUUUCGCGAACGUGAUCUCCUCUGGAGGAAGGCCACCGGAGCCCGCGGCCCACUGGAGGACACGGUGGCCAUUACCGGAAGUCAUGCCUGCACCGGAAGGACGAUAAAUCUGGAGAGUGUACACACAGUAGGACGUGGGGCACACGGCAGGAUUCCCCCAGCGCGGCCUCCCACAGCUCCCAGCAUGCCCCUGGCCCUGCCUUUCACAGAGGAACUCAGGAGAGCAGAAUAGAGGGAGGGAGUGACGUCAGCAGCGGGGUCAUACAUGGAUGGCAUCAUAGGUCGGUGGGAGGGACUUAGGAAUGGGGCUUAAUGAGAGGAAGUGAUGUCAACAGUGGGAUCUAGUGGGAGGAAGUGACCUCACCAAGAGGAUCAUCCAUGGAUAUAGUAAUCGGUCAGUAGGGGGAUUUAGGAGCCGGGCCUAGGGGAGGAAGUGACGUCAUCAGUGGGAUUUUCCAAAGGCUGGAGUCAUAGGUCAGUGGGAGGGACUUAGGAACAGGGCAGUGGAAGGAACAUGCCUAUCUGGAGGAAGUUGUGUCAUCAGUGAGGUCUAGUGGAAGAUGUGACGUCAUCAGCAGUCCGUGGAGUCACUGCUCGGUGGGCCAUUGUGGGGACUUACGAGUGGGACUGAGCGGAGGGAGUGACAUCAGGGCAUGUGGGCCGCCCACCUGAGCGGAUGGGGUACCUCCCGGUGAGGAAGGCCGCCCGGCUGGGCGUGCACACAGCUUCGGCCGCCAGGUGCUGCGUGAGCCUCACACCACCUUCUGCAAGUCGGUCGAUGUUCGGGGUCCUGGUGGGGAGGGGCAGGGCGUGGAUCGUGGCAUGGGGGCAGCACACCCUCGUGACACUGGCACACCCACGUGACCCCAGUGUCAGCCUCACUGGGCAAGGCUGGCCCCGUGACGCUCACUUCACUAUCUGGCCCGAGGCAUCAUGGGAAAUCAGUGUCCAGCAUUGGCAUCAUGGGAAGGGCAGAUCCUGAUGCAUCAUGGGUACCCGGGGCCCUCCCCCUGGUGAUAUUAGAGCUAGCCGUCUGCUAACCACAGAGGACUGGAGUCUGUACAGACAGAGGUGAGAAGCCGGGGCAGCAGCCGCACACCCUCGGGUCUGCGAUCAGCGGAGGCAGGCAGUCCGGCUGCUCUUUCGCUCCUCUGGACUUUCAGCGCUGACCCCCAUCCGACGCCAGGUUUUCAUUAUUAAGACCAAUCAGAGUUCAUCCACACUCUCCUCUCACCUGAUGGUGCUGUUGCCAUAGCAGCCGACAUCCCCGAUGCCCAGGUCGUCUGCCAGGAGCAGGAGGAAGUUGGGUCGAGACUGUGCUGUGUCCAGGCACGUGACCGGCUCCAGGCUGAGGAAGACACCCAGGAGGGCCGCAAGGCGGUUCCUGAAACGCAUGUGACACGUCAUCCAUGGACCCUGCUUCUUCUAUCCCUGUCUCCGAGGCAGCGAGCGUGGACGUCAUCACUGCAGUGCAUGCUGGGCAGCUACAUGUGGGUCCAGGGAUCCAGUGGAGACUUCCGGCCACCAUGGGUGUGUACAGGAUUAAUUUUCAAAUAAAUAUAAACUGUCAAUUAAGUUUCCA